GGAGGGUUGGCAGAGUGGUAAUGCAGCGGCAUGCUAAGCCGUGUUCCGGUAAAACGGGACCACAGGUUCAAAUCCUGUACCCUCCG
rnacentral:tRNA from 3 species